rnacentral:rRNA from 1 species
CUUGAUGUCUUUUAUGUUAAGUCUGGCCUGCCUACCGAUUUAUAUUGAGGGGCCGCAGUAUGUUGACUGUGCAAAGGUAGCAUAAUCAUUAGUCUUUUAAUUGAAGGCUGGAAUGAAGGGUUUGACGAGAUAACAGCUGUCUUGUAUAUUAUAAUUGAAUUUCAUAUUUAAGUAAGAAGGCUUAAAUUAUGAUAAGGGACGAUAAGACCCUAUAGAACUUUAUAUGAAUUAUUUAGUAUAGAUAAUAAAUAUUUUACUGGGGUGGUUGGGAAAGAUGAAAACUUUUCUUAAAUUUAACAUUUUAUUUGAUUUAAUGAUCUUUUAUUAAGGAUGAGAGAAUAAGUUACCUUAGGGAUAACAGCUUAAUUUUCUUAAAGAGUUCUAAUCGACAAGAAAUAUUGAGACCUCGAUGUUGGAUUAGGAUGACUAUGGGGCGCAGUAGUUUCAUUAGUAAGUCUGUUC